rnacentral:rRNA from 1 species
CGUGUAGGCGGCUUAUUAAGUCAGAUGUGAAAGCCCACGGCUUAACCGUGGAACUGCAUUUGAAACUGGUAGGCUUGAGUAUGAGAAGGGGUAGUGGAAUUCCCAGUGUAGCGGUGAAAUGCGUAGAUAUUGGGAAGAACACCAGUAGCGAAGGCGGCUACCUGGCUCAUUACUGACGCUAAUGCGCGAAAGCGCGGGGAGCAAACA